rnacentral:rRNA from 1 species
AAGCAGCUUGCUGUUUUGCUGACGAGUGGCGGACGGGUGAGUAAUGUCUGGGAAACUGCCUGAUGGAGGGGGAUAACUACUGGAAACGGUAGCUAAUACCGCAUAACGUCGCAAGACCAAAGAGGGGGACCUUAGGGCCUCUUGCCAUCGGAUGUGCCCAGAUGGGAUUAGCUAGUAGGUGGGGUAACGGCUCACCUAGGCGACGAUCCCUAGCUGGUCUGAGAGGAUGACCAGCCACACUGGAACUGAGACACGGUCCAGACUCCUACGGGAGGCAGCAGUGGGGAAUAUUGCACAAUGGGCGCAAGCCUGAUGCAGCCAUGCCGCGUGUAUGAAGAAGGCCUUCGGGUUGUAAAGUACUUUCAGCGGGGAGGAAGGGAGUAAAGUUAAUACCUUUGCUCAUUGACGUUACCCGCAGAAGAAGCACCGGCUAACUCCGUGCCAGCAGCCGCGGUAAUACGGAGGGUGCAAGCGUUAAUCGGAAUUACUGGGCGUAAAGCGCACGCAGGCGGUUUGUUAAGUCAGAUGUGAAAUCCCCGGGCUCAACCUGGGAACUGCAUCUGAUACUGGCAAGCUUGAGUCUCGUAGAGGGGGGUAGAAUUCCAGGUGUAGCGGUGAAAUGCGUAGAGAUCUGGAGGAAUACCGGUGGCGAAGGCGGCCCCCUGGACGAAGACUGACGCUCAGGUGCGAAAGCGUGGGGAGCAAACAGGAUUAGAUACCCUGGUAGUCCACGCCGUAAACGAUGUCGACUUGGAGGUUGUGCCCUUGAGGCGUGGCUUCCGGAGCUAACGCGUUAAGUCGACCGCCUGGGGAGUACGGCCGCAAGGUUAAAACUCAAAUGAAUUGACGGGGGCCCGCACAAGCGGUGGAGCAUGUGGUUUAAUUCGAUGCAACGCGAAGAACCUUACCUGGUCUUGACAUCCACGGAAGUUUUCAGAGAUGAGAAUGUGCCUUCGGGAACCGUGAGACAGGUGCUGCAUGGCUGUCGUCAGCUCGUGUUGUGAAAUGUUGGGUUAAGUCCCGCAACGAGCGCAACCCUUAUCCUUUGUUGCCAGCGGUCCGGCCGGGAACUCAAAGGAGACUGCCAGUGAUAAACUGGAGGAAGGUGGGGAUGACGUCAAGUCAUCAUGGCCCUUACGACCAGGGCUACACACGUGCUACAAUGGCGCAUACAAAGAGAAGCGACCUCGCGAGAGCAAGCGGACCUCAUAAAGUGCGUCGUAGUCCGGAUUGGAGUCUGCAACUCGACUCCAUGAAGUCGGAAUCGCUAGUAAUCGUGGAUCAGAAUGCCACGGUGAAUACGUUCCCGGGCCUUGUACACACCGCCCGUCACACCAUGGGAGUGGGUUGCAAAAGAAGUAGGUAGCUUAACCUUCGGGAGGGCGCUUACCACUUUGUGAUUCAUGACUGGGGUGAAGUCGUAACAAGGUAACCGUAGGGGAACCUGCGGUUGGAUCACCUCCUUACCUUAAAGAAGC